CCCCCGGGGCGGCGCUGGCCGCGGGGCUCCUCUUCUUCCCGGGGCUGUUCGUGCUGGCCCGGGCCGCGCUGCGCCGGCGCUGCCCCGAGCCGCACGCGGCCAUCCUGGCCGCCAGGCUGGUGUCCUCGGUGCAGGCGGUGAUGGCCUCCACGGCCGGGUACAUCAUCUCCUCCUCCUGCCAGCACGUCAUCGAUGACCAGCACUGGCUGGCCAAGGCCUACCCCGAGUUCGCCGUGCCCUACUUCAUCUACGACGUGUACGCCAUGUUCCUGUGCCACCGGCACCGCGCCCGCGUCAAGGGCCACGAGGCGGCUCCUCCCCCGUCGCUGCGCGCGGCCGCCGGCUCCUACCUGCGCAAGGACCUGCUCAUGGUGCUGCACCACGCGGCCAUGGUGCUCGUCUGCUUCCCCGUGGCCACCCUCUGGCGUCAGGGGAAGGGCGACUUCUUCUUGGGGUGUCUCCUGAUGGCCGAGCUCAGCACCCCCUUCGUCUGCCUCGGCAAGGUCCUCAUCCUGCUGGGGCGGCAGCACACGGCUCUGCACCGCCUCAACGGGCUGACGCUGCUGGUGACGUUCCUGCUGUGCCGGGUGCUGCUCUUCCCGUACCUGUACUGGGCCUACGGGCGGCACCGGGGGCUGCCGCUGCUGCGCGUCCCCGCGGCCCUGCCCCCCGCCACCAACCUGGCGGCCGCCGCGCUCCUCGCGCCGCAGCUCUACUGGUUCGGCCUCAUCUGCCGCGGGGCCUGGCGCCUGCUGCGCCCCGCGGCCAGACCCACGGAGAGCCCCAUAGCGGGGCCCAUGGACAGACCCACAGCCGGCAGCGGGCCUCAGCGACACCCUCCCUGAGCCCCACGGCGCCGCCUGUCCCAUGGAGAGCCCCAUAGCCCCAGGCCCCACUGCCCUCCCCACUCCCACCCUGAGCCCCAUGGACAUCCUAUCUGAGCCCCAUGGAGAGCCCUGGAACGCUGGGGUGCUCUAUGGGGCAGCCUGGGGUCCCUAUGGGGCGGUAUGGGGGGGUCCUGGAGUCUCUGUGGGGCACCCUAAGGUGUAAGAGGGUUUCUAUGAGGGACCCCAGGAUCUCUGUAGGGCACCCUGGUAUCAGUAUAGGGCACCCUGGGAUCUCUAUGGGGCACCCUGGGGUCUCUAUGGGGCUCCGUAUGGUCUCUAUGGGGCACUCUGUGGUCUCUAUUUUGCAGCUGGGGUCUCUAUGGGUCACACUGGGCUCCCUACUGGGCACCUUUGGGUCUCUAUGGCGCACCCUGGGGUCUCUAUGGGGCAGCAUGGGGUCUCUAUGGGUUCUCUAUGGGUCCCACAGCUUCACCAUGGAGAGCCCUGGGCCCCACAGACACCCCCCCUUAGCCCCACGGCGAGCCUUGGCACUCUGGGAUGCUCUAUGGGGCACUGUGGGGUCUCUAUGGGGCGCUGUGGGGUCUCUAUGGGCCACUGGGCCCUCUAUGGGGCACUGGGCUCUCUACGGGCUCUCUAUGGGGCACUGUGGGCUCUACGGGGCACCAGGCUCUCUAUGGGGCUCUGGGCUCUCUAUGGGGCACUGUGGGCUCUAUGGGGCACUAGGCUCUCUAUGGGGCUCUGGGCUCUCUAUGGGGCACUGUGGUCUCUAUGGGGCACUGGGCUCUCUAUGGGGCACUGUCCCUCCAUGUUGUGUCCCCCCCCAAACCCUAUUAAAGGGCUUUGGGAA
ensembl:lncRNA